AAUCUGGCAGUCUUUGGCUGUCCGAGUUGUAAUCUAGAGAAGYGUUAUCCGCGCUGGACCGUGUACAAGUCUCCUGGAAUGGAGCGUCAUAGAGGGUGAGAAUCCCGUCUUUGACACGGACUACCAGGGCUUUGUGAUGCGCUCUCAAAGAGUCGAGUUGUUUGGGAAUGCAGCUCAAAAUGGGUGGUAAAUUCCAUCUAAAGCUAAAUAUUGGCGAGAGACCGAUAGCGAACAAGUACCGUGAGGGAAAGAUGAAAAGAACUUUGGAAAGAGAGUUAAACAGUACGUGAAAUUGCUGAAAGGGAAACGCUUGAAGUCAGUCGCGUUGUCCAGGGAUCAACCUUGCUUUUGCUUGGUGCAUUUUCUGGUUGACGGGUCAGCAUCAAUUUUGACCAUUGGAAAAAGAUUAAGGGAAUGUGACAUCUUAGGAUGUGU
rnacentral:rRNA from 1 species